CCGCUUAUUGAUAUGCUUAAGUUCAGCG
rnacentral:rRNA from 1 species